rnacentral:lncRNA from 1 species
AUAUAAUGGAGACAGUUUGGGUUUUGAUAUAUUAAAUGACUUUUUUGUAAUGUUAUUUAAAACACAAGUCUGAAAGAUACCAGUAUAUUAUAGCAAAAAUAAUAUGAUUAUUAACAGUGAAAAGUAUGUAUUUGGAACCAAUAAUAUUAUGUGAAGAGAAAUCAUGAUUCAUGAUGUUUUCUACCAGUGAUAGUAAAUACACUUCAGAAGAGGGCAAGACAGUAUAUUGAGCUUAGAUAGCAGUUCUCAGUUUCUGCUUUUAUCAAUACUACUUGAUAUUUGAAGUGUUAGAUUAUUGCCUCUGUAUAAUGUCAUUGUGCCAUUAUACCCUCAACUUACGUUCUUAAUUAAUGCGAAAAGGGCUUGAUGUGUAAUUAUCAUAGACUUUCUCAUUCUCUUAGGAGGUAGUUAAGUAAAAGGUUGAGUAUGUUGCACUGGUGAUAUUUAUUCAGCUUACUACUUUUUUUCCUGAAUGCCUUAGAGUCAGAGUUCUUAACCUGCACAGGAUGCUUAGGCCCCUUUGAGGUUAUGAUGGAAACAUGAAUUCUUUCACCACACCUGUACAAAAACAUUUCCCUCCAUUUUCAAGGCAUUCACAGACCCAGUGAAGCUCAUCCAUAUGCCCCAGGUGAAGGAGGCUGACCUGGACAGAGAACUUCACAUGAUUAAAGCACUGUUCAUAAAAGGGGAAGUGGCCAGGUCAAAAGAAAUCAUUCUCUGUGGUUGCUAGGGUGGGGGUGCACAGCCAGAGAACAGGACAAAGGGUGGAGAAAAUACAUGACUAAUGCUGACUAAAUAAAGAGAAUAGUUAAUAUUAUCAGAAGCUCCAAAUGGAGAACCCGGAAUCCCUAAGCAUUUAAUCACGCAUGUUUGUUAAAGCAAGUGUGAUUCGGGGAGGGAGUUAUAGACCCAACAGUAAGCCACCAGGGAGAAUUUUC